rnacentral:misc_RNA from 1 species
AAAGUCGUAACAAGGUCUCCGUUGGUGAACCAGCGGAGGGAUCAUUACUGAGUGUAAAAACUCCCAAACCCACUGUGAACCUUACCACUGUUGCUUCGGCGGACCCGCCCCGGGCGCCUCCCCUCAGGGGGUGGUGCCCCGGACCCAGGCGGCCGCCGGGGACCAAAACCUCUGUAUUCUCCGAGUAUUCUCUGAGUGUGAUUUACAAAAUCAAAUCAAAACUUUCAACAACGGAUCUCUUGGCUCUG